rnacentral:misc_RNA from 1 species
GAUGAAGAACUUAGCGAAAUGCGAUAAGUAAUGCGAAUUGCAGAAUUCAGUGAGUCAUCGAAUCUUUGAACGCACAUUGCGCCCUGUGGUAUUCCGCAGGGCAUGCCUGUUCGAGCGUCAUUUCAACCCUCAAGCUCUGCUUGGUGUUGGGCCCUGCCCGCUGCGGCCGGCCCUAAAGACAGUGGCGGUGCCGCCUGGCCCUGAGCGUAGUACAUCUCUCGCUCCAGUGCCCGGUGGUAGCCUGCCAGAACCCCAACUCUCGUGGUUGACCUCGGAUCAGGUAGGGAUACCCGCUGAACUUAAGCAUAUCAAUAAGCGGAGGA